rnacentral:rRNA from 1 species
GACAGAGGAUGCAAGCGUUAUCCGGAAUGAUUGGGCGUAAAGCGUCUGUAGGUGGCUUUUUAAGUCCGCCGUCAAAUCCCAGGGCUCAACCCUGGACAGGCGGUGGAAACUACCAAGCUGGAGUACGGUAGGGGCAGAGGGAAUUUCCGGUGGAGCGGUGAAAUGCGCAGAUAUCAGGAGGAACACCGGUGGCGAAGGCGGUGGUCUGGGCCGGAACUGACGCUGAGGAGCGAAAGCGUGGGGAGCGAACAGG